UACGAAGGGGGCUAGCGUUGCUCGGAAUUACUGGGCGUAAAGCGCACGUAGGCGGCUUGUUAAGUCAGGGGUGAAAUCCUGGAGCUCAACUCCAGAACUGCCUUUGAUACUGGCGAGCUUGAGUUCGGGAGAGGUGAGUGGAACUGCGAGUGUAGAGGUGAAAUUCGUAGAUAUUCGCAAGAACACCAGUGGCGAAGGCGGCUCACUGGCCCGAUACUGACGCUGAGGUGCGAAAGCGUGGGGAGUAAACAGG
rnacentral:rRNA from 1 species